rnacentral:rRNA from 1 species
AUUGAACGCUGGCGGCAGGCCUAACACAUGCAAGUCGAGCGGAUGAAGGGUGCUUGCUCCUGGAUUCAGCGGCGGACGGGUGAGUAAUGCCUAGGAAUCUGCCUGGUAGUGGGGGAUAACGUCCGGAAACGGGCGCUAAUACCGCAUACGUCCUGAGGGUGAAAGUGGGGGAUCUUCGGACCUCACGCUAUCAGAUGAGCCUAGGUCGGAUUAGCUAGUUGGUGGGGUAAAGGCCUACCAAGGCGACGAUCCGUAACUGGUCUGAGAGGAUGAUCAGUCACACUGGAACUGAGACACGGUCCAGACUCCUACGGGAGGCAGCAGUGGGGAAUAUUGGACAAUGGGCGAAAGACUGAUCCAGACAUGCCGAGUGUGUGAAGAAGGUCUUCGGAUUGUAAAGCACUUUAAGUUGGGAGGAAGGGCAGUAAGUUAAUACCUUGCUGUUUUGACGUUACCAACAGAAUAAGCACCGGCUAACUUCGUG